CUUGUGAUACGACCGCCUCGGCCUCCCAAAGUGCUGGGAUUACAGGCGUGAGCCACCGUGCCCGGCCGGAGAAGCUUGAUUUAAAGGACAGAGGAAGAUGUGUAUCAGCUGGAGUUGACUACUGUGGCUUGCACAUGGAAGCUGGGAGAACAGAAACUCUCAUGUGGAAGAGCCAAGAUGUCCUUGGAGCCAUUACCAGCCUCUUGCUGAGCAUUCUUUCCUACUAUAUUCAGCCGGGAGUUUCUCCAAUGGUCCUACCUCCUGUGUACUCUGUCCCUAGGCAUCCCUCAAAUGGAGAUCAUCCUGCCCCAGAAAAGUCUCUGAGAACGGAGUCAACGGUAGACAGCAGGAAAGAGUGAGUGGAGAUGCCGGCUCCACUGUGCCAAGUGAAAAUAACUUGAGGGCUAUGAUGGAAAUGAUGUGGAGUUCACCUGGCUGAGACGGAAUGACUCUGUGCAUGGGCUGGAAACCCUGUGGCUUGCUUAGUACACCAUACAAUGGUAUUUCACCUUGGACACCAGAUUGCAGCAGGAGACAGGUGUAGCUGGUGGGGAUGGACUGAGUCGGGGGAGGAGGCUCCUGAAGAGCAGCUAAUUCUUGCCUUUUGCUUGAUUGUGGUCUAAGGACAUGGAAGGACAGUGAUCUGAUGAUGGAACACCG
rnacentral:lncRNA from 1 species